CUUGCAUUUUGUUUAAAAUAAUUUUUAUAUUUUCUUAUCUUAUUCAAGUAAGAUUGUUGGUGACAAAAACCGAGGCCUUCUUCUUCCUUUGCAUUUAUCAGUCAGUUUCAUCAAUCUCCUCGUGAACCAACAUGGACAGUCUCAACAGGCAAAAAAGUGCCUUCUUCAGUAUGAGUCCGGCAGAAAAACGUAGUUAUUUCUUGAAAAAUAUUAUUCGAAGGAGAGUGUUACCCAAGCAGAAUAGUUCGUCGAGUAUUUUGAAUAGAGCAUUUAUCGCAGAUUCAUCGAAAAGUUUAAAAGGUCGUAAAAGUGACGGUGUUUUAAAUAUCUGUGACAAAGCUAGUGAUAAAAGUGAAGAAACCCGCGAUUUUUUCAAACUACUGGAUUACGCCCUGCGUGAAAUCGCGGAUAUCAAGCAGGAUUUGACCGAAAUGACCGAAACUGUGUCUAAAUUGAACACGCCUCGUUUGUAGGUUCUGUAUUUUUUAUAUUAUUGAUUUAAAUAAAUUUUACUACUUUUAAAUAAAGAGCCCCUUUUGCAUAAUCCAUGCAGGGUCUGGAUGUAUAAUUAAUAAGAACCCAUCGUCAAAGGCCUUUUUUCGUUCGGGACUGGAGUGACCGCUGCAUGCAUAAACAAAAAGGGGGGUUGGUGUCUCGUGCAAACAAAAGUGCAAUGGUGCGUCGUAUAAUUGCGAAAUGCCGCCCCCUCGUUGUAAUUUACCGAAAACAGACGAGCAGACCACCAUGUAAAACGAGGGCGUCACGCCAAAUUAGUGGAGGCAAACUUGCCUCCAGUAUAUGUCUGUUACAUUUGGGGCAAUUUGCUUGUUUAUUAAGAAGAAACUCGCACAAUACCGGACACAAAUUAAACGCUGGUUUUUCUAACAUACGAGGCGAGAGCCGUAAGGAAAACGGCUGGGGAUGCUGGGAGAUGUCUUGUACACCUUCGGCAAUGCGGAGAAAGCCCCAUAUACAGCCUUAAUCCAUUAAAUUUAAUGUUGUGUUGUUCGUGCAAUGAUCAAUACCGUACAUGCACUCCUGCCUAAUGAACCAGAAUCAACACCGGCAUGGGAUACACGGACAUACAUUUUCUCGCACCAUCCGCCAAGAUGAAAUAUACAUGAGAAUGCCGCGAUAAAACGAUUCCAAAUCUUUCAACCGACUUGCAAACUACACUUAAAAUUCUAACGGGAUUUUACCGAAACCAAGUGAUUUCAGUGUUCAUCGGCCAGGUGCAAAGUUCGUUACAAAGUACAUAGAUAACAAUUACAUAGAAAUUGCAGAUAGGAAAAAAGCUCAAAGCAAAUAAUUAAACGUAAAAAUCAAAAAUAAAGCAAGAAAUUGUUAAAUUGCGUCUUUGAAUUUGAGAAUACCUACACCAGUUUAUGUACCACAAAUAAAUUGUUCUAAAUAUUUUUGCAUUUUUCCUUGGAUUUGUUGACAUGUUUGUGACCAUUUAAUUGCAGGUAUCAAUUUAGUACAUGUGUAAUUUCGGAAUUAAAAGCUAAAAUUAUUUUUUCCAUAUGUAUUUACUUAAUUUUAAUAAUAAAGUGGAGAACAAUAUCUAAGACCCUUUCAAAAUAGUAAAAUAUUUUUUUUUAGAGAUUUUAUUAGUCCAUAUUGAACUGAUUAUUUAUUUGGUAAACUGCUUACUCACAAAUUUGAUGUGGAUCCCCUUUUUGCGAUAAGAAAAUUCGGUCGAGUAUAAAUACGCCCCCGACUUUUCGCAAGAGCAGUUCCCAGAGCGGUUUAAGACAGUUCUUUCAAGUGUGAACAAUUCGAAAAAGCAUAAAAAUGGAUAAGGAUGCAAAGGAUAAUCAUUCCAAUCAAGGGAAUCCGAAUAAUUCGGCUGAUGAUUCGAAGCCUUCGUACACUCAGGCAGAGAAAGACAACCGGUCAAAUCAACUUAACCCGAACAAUGAUACUUAUUAUUCCUCGCGAGGACAAGAAAAGUAAUGUUUACCUGUAUUUGAUUGUUUAAAACAUGAGUUGUAUGAAAUAAAUUUUCCUAAAGGCA